rnacentral:lncRNA from 1 species
GACUCUGCCGACAUCCAACCUUGGGCGGCAUAUCUCCGAACCUCUCCGACGGUCGAGCUUCCGCAACAUUCUCAAGUUCUGCCGAUGGACGAACUCCUGCCACAUCUUUCGGGCUUCUCCGACGAUAAGCUUCUUCGGUUGUCCAUCAGGCUGCUCCUAGUGCUCUCUAGAUCCUACCUUCGGUCGAUCUCCUACAAGGGUCAACCAUCCGCCAGACCCCUUUCGGAUCUUUUCCGACAGGAUUCGAUUGACUCCAAUCUGAAUUUCUUCCAGAGCUACAUCAGUUCGUCAGUGACCGAACUUUCCCAACAGCAGAUCUCCACGACGGAUGAGCUCCAUCCAAGUUUCUAUGGUGGUCGACUGCCU